UGGAAGUAAAGACAAGGCUAAAACUCACACCCAAAAGAAGUGAUGGCUGCUUCAUGCAAAUGAUUUCCAGUUAGUUAUUAGAAAGGGCACAGAACUCCACUGUAAGCUAGGGCAGUUAUGGGGGGGAAGGGAGGAAAAGGAAGGGGAGAGGGGUCGUUAUCCUAAAUCUUUUAUUGACCGGUUUCUUUGAUCCUAGUGUGUCUUUAUUAUUUAGAAAAAAAAUUAAAAAGUGACCCAGAGCUCCACCCAUUUGCACCUAAAUCCUGGAAUAGGUGAUGACCCCUCACAGCCUGGCUCAGCACAUGCCCCAAACUAAAACAAACAAACUCAUUUGCCAUACAAAUUGUUUACGAUUCAUUAAAAAGCAAAAUCGCAUAACCCAGAGCUGGCAGCUGAGGGAGUCUCCAUGGGCGGAGGGGGCAUUCACUGAGUUGCCUUUGUAUGCUGGGAGGACCAAGCCGGAGGUUCCCACUAUGAGCCGGGAGUCUGAGCAACCAGAUGACACAGGAGCUGUCAUUCCUGUGAGCUGAGCUGGCCUGGGACUGGAGCUAACACCUGUGUGAGAGCAACACUGAAAACUCUUCCUGAGUUUUGUUUGGAAGAUGAGCAACCGUGCGGUUCCCAAGUUCCCACUGGUGAUAUUCUACAUUUCUGUACCGAGAGGCCUUCAACUUUGUUUCCAGGACCCUUGGAAAUGUGAAACUCGACAAGAGCACGUGACUUGAACGCAGUAUGUAAUAACAGCUAACGUUUAUCCAGUGUUUCCUCUCAGCCAGGCGAUGUUCCAAGAGCCUUAAGUAUUUUUUUUCCAGCCAGCUGCCACCCAAGAUUGGGCUAAACCCUCGGCCCUUUGUUAAAAUGAGAAGAAAAAAAAAGGAAAGAAAGAAAGAAAAAAAAAGAGAACACAUGCAACGCAAGCUUCUAAUAAGUAUAUUCACAACUUCGAUGCAAGGCGCUUAAGAAAACUAAAAGAAAACGGAGACCAUCGCAGGAAUCCACAGCUGGACACGAUGCAGGCAUCGACAGAUCUCGGGCAGCUCUACCCCAGUGGCUUCCUCUGCAUCACAUUUACAGCUCUGCAAAAAUCACAGAAGAGGGGAUAGGAAGACUGUAAGAGCGAAACACAAGGAGUUUGGCUGUGAAACAGUCUUUCCUAGAAAUGUCUGCAUAAACGAAAUCUGAACAGUGGCAAUCUCAGCAGUAUAUUGACGUGGAAGAGAAAACCAAACCUCACAGGAUCACAUCCGUGGAUAAGACAACUGAUGACUGCUGGGAAUGAGAGAGUUAUCCUCUAUCAGGGAUGAGCUCUCUGAUCAGCUAUCCAAUACAAACAGUAUCCCUGAAACUGUACCUACACAAACUACAGAACGGACCCAGCAGGUUGUAUUUAUAGAUUUGUGCAAAAAAACCCAUGUAGCAAUAAUAAUGUCACAAGAAGAGGCUAUCAGUCUGAACGUUGUGGCAACUUGGGAGUAGUUAGAGGGAUGAAACAGAGGGGGGAGUGUUAUAAUUAUGUUUUAAUUAAAAUAUAUAAAAAUGUAAAGGAAAACCCUCAAUGAAUUUUGUUUUAUGAGUAGGGCAGAAUUUUUCAUAAUUUCUGAAAUGGAUGUAAACAUACUCCUGCACUUUAUACUAUGUAUUUAUGAAGAACGGUGUUCUCAGAAUUGAUGUAUAAAAAUAAAUAUUGAACCAUUUCGACAAACAUUCAAGAUGUUCUGUGUCCUGUAAUAUCAAACAAUCAGUCAGGAUUCAGGUCCUUAUGUGAACAUUAACAAGCAUGCGCAUGUUAUUAGUAAGUUUUUAAUACACGGUAAAAUGAUAUGUAUAGCAGACAAUUGCCUUAAGUGGUUUUGUAAUAUGGAGUCAGUGAAUAUAUACCUAUUUUCUAGACCUUUACCUCAAUAGUCGUGCAAAACUUUUCAGGUGUAAAGUGGGUGGGGCUGUGAAGUUUAGGAAGCCUUGCUCUUGACUAUCUAUAUGGACAUAAUUAGUAUUUGGGGGUAUAGGUGCUAUUUAUUCCUCAUCUAGCAGGUUUUAAGCUUGUUUUGAAUCAUGUAUGGAUUAGCAUAAACUUAGUGUUACAUUUUUAAGCUCACAGUAUUCUUACACGGUCAUGUUGAAUAAUGUAAGCUUAGGUCCUCGUAUUUCAUUCUCACUAGUCUCAAGGUAUUUUCCAUUUUUUUUUCAUUUAUUCUCUGGCCCAUUGACUACACAAGAGUAAAUUAUUUGAUUUUCGCAUUUAA
rnacentral:sRNA from 1 species